CAUGCAAGUCGAGCGAGAAGCUAACUUCGGUUAGUGGACAGCGGCGCACGGGUGAGUAACGCGUGGGAAUUUACCUUUCGGCGGGGGACAACAGUUGGAAACGACUGCUAAUACCGCAUACGCCCUACGGGGGAAAGAUUUAUCACCGAAAGAUAGGCCCGCGUUAGAUUAGGUAGUUGGUAGGGUCAAAGCCUACCAAGCCGACGAUCUAUAGCUGGUUUGAGAGAACGAUCAGCCACACUGGAACUGAGACACGGUCCAGACUCCUACGGGAGGCAGCAGUGGGGAAUCUUGCACAAUGGGCGAAAGCCUGAUGCAGCCAUGCCGCGUGAGUGCUAAGGCCUUCGGGUUGUAAAACUCUUUUAGAUGUGAAGAUGAUGACGGUAACAUCAGAAAAAGCACCGGCUAACUUCGUGCCAGCAGCCGCGGUAAUACGAAGGGUGCUAGCGUUGUUCGGAAUUACUGGGCGUAAAGAGCGUGUAGGCGGCUUAGCAAGUUAGAGGUGAAAUCCCAGGGCUCAACCCUGGAACUGCCUUUGAUACUGCUAGGCUUGAGAUCGUGAGGGGAUAGCGGAAUACCCAGUGUAGAGGUGAAAUUCGU
rnacentral:rRNA from 1 species